rnacentral:misc_RNA from 1 species
ACAACAACAGCAAAAUGAGAUGAUUAAGCAAUUCACCUCCACAAUGGAUCAACUAGCCACUCACAAUAAAAUACUUGAGAAUUAGAUUGCUCAGUAAGCUAACUCCUCAAGCAAAGCCCUUGAUGAACUACCUAGCCAACUAGAAAUGAACCCGAAAGAGCAUUGCAAUGCUAUUACAUUGAAAAGUGGAGGGCUAGUAGAGAAUCAACCGAGUAAUGGUGUACAAGAAAGAGAGGGUGCAGAUGAAGCUAAAAAGGCUCCACCAGUAGAAGAGGAGAAAACGCAUGAAGACAAAGGUGUUGCAGAGAAGGAAGCCAAAUACAUACCUCUCAAACCAUAUAUCCCAUCUUUGCCUUUUCCACAAAGGGCAUUAAAGGUGAAGUUUGAUGCUCAAUUAGGAAAGUCCUUAGAGGUGCUCAAAAAGCUCUAUAUCAUCUCAUUCACAGAGGCUCUUUCCCAAAUGUCAUCCUAUGCAAAAUUCUUAAAGGAGGUCCCAUCUAACAAAAGUAAACUUAAGGAGUAUGAGAUAGUAGCAAUGGCUAAGGAGUGCAAUGCAAUUAUUCAAAACAAAUUUCCUCCAAAGCUUAAAUAUCCAGAUAGUUUCUCAAUUCCUUGUUCUAUUGGCAAAUUAAAUAUUAAUGAGGCUCUUUAUAAUCUUAGUGCUAGCGUGAACUUAAUACCCUUAUUAAUAUGUGAGAAGCUGAAAUGAGGAAAGCUCAAACCAACCACUAUCUCUCCACAAUUGGUAGAUAGAUUAAUAAAGUACCCUAUAGAAAUUCUGGAGUAUAUUCCGCCUAAGGUUAGUAAGUUCUUUACCCCAAUUGAUUUUGUGCUGGUUGAUAUAAAAGAGGAUGUGAAAAUAGUGCAAAUAAUAUUUUUUUAUUUUCAAUAUGUUUUUUACUUAUUAAAAUAGUUAGGUGUAUAUAUAUAUAUAUAUCCUCACCUCUCACCUAAGGCCAUAAGGUACCCUGUAACCUUAGUGUCGCUUCUCACCUUAAUAACACUAAGUCUUUUAUUACUCCAUACAAGUCCUAUGAAACAUUUUUUUUAACAUUAAUUUUGAUAUAUUUUGAAGAUUGAGAAUAAUAAAAACUAGUAUUACCUUUCUUCCUUUACAAGCCCUACACAGUUGCACCUAUUCCAUGACCCCCUACUUGUAGUUAUGUACUGACAUAUAACUAUGUCAACUGAAAUGAUUAUAACUAGUGGGGAAGCAGCACUAAAAUCAAAGUCAAAACCCACCCUUAUGGGAAUUGCUUGUCGCAGCUGCCACCAUUAGCAACAGUAUACUCAUUGGGUUUGUCCCUAGCCAAUCCACCUAUUUUUGGAACUUGCACACUCCAACAUUAUUGUAG